UGCCAGCCGCCGCGGUAAUACGGAGGGUGCAAGCGUUAAUCGGAAUUACUAGGCGUAAAGCGCGCGUAGGCGGAAUGUUAAGUCUCAUGUGAAAGCCCUGGGCUCAACCUGGGAACUGCAUGGGAUACUGGCAUUCUAGAAUACAGUAGAGAGAGGUGGAAUUUCAGGUGUAGCGGUGAAAUGCGUAGAGAUCUGGAGGAACAUCAGUGGCGAAGGCGGCUCCCUGGCCAAAGACUGACGCUCAUGUGCGAAAGUGUGGGUAGCGAACGGGAUUAGAUA
rnacentral:rRNA from 1 species